CACGUAGGGGGCGAGCGUUGUCCGGAUUCAUUGGGCGUAAAGAGCUCGUAGGCGGCUCAGUAAGUCGGGUGUGAAACCCUCAGGCUCAACCUGGGGACGCCACUCGAUACUGCUGUGGCCAGAGUCCAGUAGAGGAGUGUGGAAUUCCUGGUGUAGCGGUGAAAUGCGCAGAUAUCAGGAGGAACACCAGUGGCGAAGGCGGUGCUCUGGGCCGGAACUGACGCUGAGGAGCGAAAGCGUGGGGAGCAAACAGG
rnacentral:rRNA from 1 species